CUCUCGCCUUUGAUAAUAUUUAAUUUUAAUACAAUAUAAUAGGAAGGAAAGAUAUAUUGUGAGUAGAAGCAAUCCUAAGUGAACUGUACCUUAAGGUAAAUUUUCCUCACAGUGGCCACCUGAGUAUCAAGUUUACAUUCACUGGUCAAGAACAGGUUAUCAAAUCCGCCCUCAGCCUGGACAAAAUCUCAGAUUUAAUUUAUAGAGUUGCCCACGUAUAGAUCGACAAAGAAACUGUGCCUAUUAUAUUGAUUUAAUACAUAUACACUGGUAUAAUUUAU